UACGUAGGGUGCAGGCGUUAAUCGGAAUUACUGGGCGUAAAGCGUGCGCAGGCGGUUCGUUGUGUCCGAUGUGAAAGCCCCGGGCUUAACCUGGGAAUGGCAUUGGAAACUGGCGAGCUUGAGUGCGGCAGGAGGGGGGUAGGUGAAUUCCGCGUGUAGCAGUGAAAUGCGUAGAGAUGCGGAGGAACACCGAUGGCGAAGGCAGCCCCCUGGGUCGACACUGACGCUCAGGCACGAAAGCGUGGGGAGCAAACAGG
rnacentral:rRNA from 1 species